GGGAUGUUCAUAACCCUUUGUUGUCCGACUCUGUUGCCUCCGGGGCGACCCUGCCUUCGGGCGGGGGCUCCGGGUGGACACUUCAAACUCUUGCGUAACUUUGCAGUCUGAGUAAACUUAAUUAAUAAAUUAAAACUUUUAACAACGGAUCUCUUGGUUCUGGCAUCGAUGAAGAACGCAGCGAAAUGCGAUAAGUAAUGUGAAUUGCAGAAUUCAGUGAAUCAUCGAAUCUUUGAACGCACAUUGCGCCCCCUGGUAUUCCGGGGGGCAUGCCUGUUCGAGCGUCAUUUCACCACUCAAGCCUCGCUUGGUAUUGGGCAACGCGGUCCGCCGCGUGCCUCAAAUCGACCGGCUGGGUCUUCUGUCCCCUAAGCGUUGUGGAAACUAUUCGCUAAAGGGUGCUCGGGAGGCUACGCCGUAAAACAACCCCAUUUCUAAGGUUGACCUCGGAUCAGGUAGGGAUACCCGCUGAACUUAAGCAUAUCAAUAAGCGGAGAAA
rnacentral:rRNA from 1 species